rnacentral:rRNA from 1 species
CAAACCGAACCGGAUCUUGAACCGGACCAAGGAGUUUAGCAUAUGCGCGAGUCAUUGGGUUGUAAACCUAAAGGCGUAAUGAAAGUGGAGACUGUUUCAAUGCAGUUGAUAUGGGAUCCGUGUAGCUUCGGCUACUGCGGCGCACCAUAGCCCCGUCCUCGUUGCUUGCAAUAGGGCGGAGGAAGAGCGCAUACGCUGAGACCCGAAAGAUGGUGAAAAA